rnacentral:rRNA from 1 species
GACGAACGCUGGCGGCGUGCCUAAUACAUGCAAGUAGAACGCUGAAGGAGGAGCUUGCUUCUCUGGAUGAGUUGCGAACGGGUGAGUAACGCGUAGGUAACCUGCCUGGUAGCGGGGGAUAACUAUUGGAAACGAUAGCUAAUACCGCAUAAUAGCAGUUGUUGCAUGACAACUGUUUGAAAGGUGCAAUUGCACCACUACCAGAUGGACCUGCGUUGUAUUAGCUAGUUGGUGGGGUAACGGCUCACCAAGGCGACGAUACAUAGCCGACCUGAGAGGGUGAUCGGCCACACUGGGACUGAGACACGGCCCAGACUCCUACGGGAGGCAGCAGUAGGGAAUCAUCGGCAAUGGACGGAAGUCUGACCGAGCAACGCCGCGUGAGUGAAGAAGGUUUUCGGAUCGUAAAGCUCUGUUGUAAGAGAAGAACGAGUGUGAGAGUGGAAAGUUCACACUGUGACGGUAUCUUACCAGAAAGGGACGGCUAACUACGUG